rnacentral:lncRNA from 1 species
GUUGGCCAUUAAAAGCCCUCAAAAUACUCACAGCCACUGGCUUGUAACCGAUAUCCAAAGAAGAUCUGAUGGCAAGUGUGUGGUUUUUUCCCUCCUGGAGAACCAGUCGAGGGAAGGGAGUCAAGUGACAAGCAGGUUUGGUCGCUGAAAACAUCCCUCCUGCUCCAACUUUUCCAAACACGCAUGCCGGCACUGUAAUUAAUCUCAGUGAAAUGGAAUGUAUCGUCCUGACCAGUUCAGCUGGUGUGGGCCAAAGUGCAAAGGAACAAGCAAAAAGAAAAAGGAGUUCAGUCUCUCGCUUCGGAGGGCGCAGUUCGGUUUCCCUAACAAGAAAAUCUGACACAACUCCUCUUCGUGAAAGGAACGGGACCGUGGCAAGAGGCAAUGAUAGAUUCCACAAGGCUGUAGAGAGUUCAAAGAAGAGACAGGUUGCUGUUUUUCAAAACGCUAUUCUGCUCGGCAGGAUCUGCAAUGUUUAGAAUGUGUGGUGAGAUUUGGGAACAGGCGCAAAUCAAACUUUUAAAUGCACACACACACACACACACACACACACACACACACAGUGCAGUUACUCACAAAGUGUGCAGAAUAAUUAAGUUGGUAUGUGUGGGGCAGCCAACCCCCAAACCUAGAGACCCCAUGCAGCACUGGUUCUGCGCCCCCUAACCAAUAUGUCGCAAGGGAAGGAAGGAAGGCAUUAUAAGAGAACAAGGAAGCGUUCGUGGUGAGUUCUAGCACGUCUUUUUCUAGAAAAACAGCACCACAUGUGAUUCCCAAGUAGUCUCUCAUUCAGAAACUGAUGAGUGUCUGAGGUGUUUAGCUUCAGCAAGGCCUCAGUGCCUCAGGAGUCCUCAAGCCAGUCAGGAGAGGUGCUGGAACUGAGUUCAAGUGAGUUCCAGCUGAAGAAAAGCGCUGAUCGCAUAUAUGCUGCCUUGAGUUCCACAGCUGAAAGAAGGUAGUGUAUACUUUUCAAUGUUUUUUUUUUAAAAAAAAUCUGUUUUUUCUGUUUCUAGUUGUUUUAUUAGACAUCGUUUUAAGUUGGUUGGCUAAAAUGUGAUUAAUAAAUCAGUGGUGGGAAUGUUCUUAAUAAUAAAUUUACUAAAUAAAUAGCCCAUUCACUUGUUUUUUCUCAUAGCCUUUAGUAUCUAGCUUCCCUUGCCUCUAUGACUGCCACACAGCUGUUUUCCUUGACAUUGACCUUUGCUUGUGUCUUUUGACCAUGGGAUGUCUCUCUGACUCCCAUCAACCAAUCCAGCUGCUGGCUCCUGCAUCACAGCCAGCUGGGUUCUGCCUGUCAUUCUGACCAUUAGUCUUCUCUUAGACAGCUCUUUGCGCUGUCUGUUUCAAGGAUCUAUGUAAAAGCCCUUAAUAUGAAAGCUGAGUAUCCAGUUUUCGAGUGUCGGUGCUUGCUUGAUGCGAAACUGACAGCAGCAGCAUGUUUUUGACCCAUAAAUAUAUUAACGGAAGACUUUGUAGCACGUCUUGGUAGGUUUCCACAAGCCGCAUGAAUAUUCAGCAUCAACGGGAGAGUAUUCAUCCAUUGUAGAGAAUGAAUAUAUAUUUCCAAACUCCUCACUUGAGAAUCAAGAAAUUCCCAUCUCAAGGUCUUCCAGAUCAGCCAAAGUUCAAGUUCUUACUUCUUCACCUUGACAAAUAUACGAGGCAGACGAGUGUGAUACACAGUUCAGAGCAUCGCUGGGUGAUUCAGUAGCAAAGUCAGGAGGAGGCGAAGGAUGAGCAAUAUUAUGUAAAUGCAGCUGUGCUGAUUUACAGGCGCAAAUGGUGUUAGAUUUCAAGGAAUAAAAAUAAAAAACCAAAUUCCUACAAUUGGAUUUUAGGACGGUUAGUCAUCCACAUAAAUAGAAUAAUGACGUGCCUGUCAUUGAAAGGACCUUUUUAUGAGAAGAGUAACUUUGAACUCCUGUUGAAUGCUGAUUUCCUCGUUGAAACUCACCAACAGGAUGGAAUAAGAGGGCAGAUGAAACAGCAGUCACCUGUGGAAUGAGCAGCCCACCAGUUCACUGGCUUACAUUAAGGUUCAGACAUCUACAGUGGUGCCUCGCAAGACGAAAUUAAUUCGUUCCGCGAGUUUUUUCGUCUAGCGAAUUUUUCGUCUUGCGAAGCACGGUUUCCCAUAGGAAUGCAUUGAAAUUCAAUUAAUGCGUUCCUAUGGUCAAAAAAAGUCCAAUCAAAGCCAAAUUUGGUACAACAAUAGUUUAUUAACUGCUCUUUAAAGUCACACAUACUUUAAAGAGCAUAUCAAAAAUUGAAGGAACAAUAAAUUAAGUUUCUAAACAUGACAGAAAAACAUUUAAAAAUCAACAAAGUGUACUGUACAUACAUUUUCUAAGACUCUGGGGAACCACUCGAAGAAGGUUCCUCUUCCACUCUUUGCUUCUUGCUGAGGAACCUGUCCAUGGUCUGCUGCUUCAUCCGCCUUUUCAGCAGCUCCCUGAGAGGCAACAUGACCGUCGUAUCAAAAGUGUUCGCUUGGUCAUGUGCCACGUGCUUGUUAGGGUGGUGCCGCUCUGCAAAAGCCUGCACCUCCUUCCACUUCUGGCAAAUGUCCCUCAGUUCUUUGGAGGACGGCCGUUCCUCAGUUGCUUCCUCCUCUUCCAGCGAGGCCUGCUCCUGCGCAACCUCUGCCUGCAGUUCAACCAGCUCCUGGGUGGUCAGCUCGUGGUCGUGCUCCUCCACCAGCUCGCUGACGUCCUCCUCUGUGACCUCCAGGCCCAUGGUCCUCCCCAAGGCAACAAUGUCCUGCACCACUGUUGACUCUGGUGCAUCAGAGUCACUUGGUGCCACACAGUCCGGCCACAGGCUGCGCCAAGCGCAAUUCAAAUUUCUCUGGCUGAUCCCGUUCCAGGCCGUGGUGAUCAUCUUCAAGCAGGUGACGAUGUCGAAGUGGUCCUUCCAGAAUUCCCGCAGGGUGAUGGUGGUGCAAUCAGUCACCUCGAAGCAUCGCCUGAAAAGCUCCUUGGUGUAGAGUUUUUGAAAUUGGCGAUGACCUGCUGAUCCAUCGGCUGGAGCAGUGGCGUGGUGUUAGGCGGCAGGAACAUGAUGUUGAUGAAGCUGAACUCCUCCAACAAGUCCACCUCAAGGCCUUUAGGAUGAGCAGGAGCAUUGUCCAUCAGAAGCAAAGCCUUCAGCGGCAGGUCGUUGUCCAGCAGGUACUGUUUGACAGCAGGGCCAAAAGCAAGAUUGACCCAGUCCACAAACAGCACACGUGUGACCCAAGCCUUGCUGUUGGAUCGCCACAUGACACUCAGCCGCUCCUUGUCGACCUUGUGUUUCUUGAAGGCCCGUGGGUUCUCCGAGUGGUACACCAGCAGGGGCUUGAUCUUCAGGUCGCCGCUUGCGUUGGCACAGAAGAGCAGGGUCAGGCGGUCCUUCAUGGGCUUGUGGCCAGGCAACUUGGCCUCCUCCUGUGUGAUGAAAGUCCUUUUGGGCAUCCUCUUCCAAAACAGCCCAGUCUCGUCGCAGUUGAAGACCUGCUGUGGAACGUAGCCCUCCGUCUUCACAACCUCCAGGAACUCCAAGGCAAAGUCUUCAGCCGCAGGAACAUCAGAACUGGCAGCCUCUCCAUGCCUGACCACGCUGUGGAUUCCAGAUCUUGCCUUGAACCGGUCAAACCAGCCUCUGCUUGCCUUGAAGACUUCUGGCUCGCCUGAGGUUCCUGGCUGUUCCCGGAUGAGGUCUGCGUGCAAGGCCUUGGCCUUCUCACAAAUGACGGCCUCAGUCACUGUGUCCCCUGCACGCUGCUUCUCUUCUAACCAGAUGAGCAGCAACUUCUCGACCUCCUCCAGAACAGCUGGGCGGUUCUUCACGAUCCUGGUGACUCCCUUGGCUGCAUCAGUCGCAAGGAUCUUCUCCCUCAUCUUCAGGAUGGUCCCGAUGGUCGAUGGGUUCCUGCCGUACUCCCUGGCGAGGUCCGUCACACGCAUUCCACCGUCGUGCUUCCAGAUGAUCUCCUUCUUCAUUUCCAGCGUCACCUUCUCCUUCUUCCUCUCGCCGGCCUCCGCAGCAGCAGCAGUCUUCUUGGGUCCCAUGGCAGCACAGCUCUUACCUUCGUAAACUCAGAAAAAGAAAAAGAAAAUCAGCAAUUCAAACCCAGAACCAAGUCCUUGAAUUCCAAACACCCAACCCAAAAUCCAAGAACCCCCAAAAAAGUUUUAAAAGUUUAACUUACGAAAUGGCUGCAAAUCACCAAAGUCUUCAAAAUCCUCAAAUGGCUGCAAAGAAGUUUUGGGAAAGCUUUAAAAAUCACCAAAGUCUUCAAAAACCUCAACUGUUCCCCCAGCCCCUCCCCAACUGUUGCAAACCCCUCCCCAACUGUUGCAAACCCCUCCUCAACUGUUCCCCCAUCCACCCAGCACACAGAAAUUCAAACCCAGAAAUUUUUUCAAAAAAAAACAACAUGGCCCAAUGGUCACAGAAAACCAUAAAAAUGCAGGAAAAAACCACACAAGCUCCCAGAUUCUUGCAAACCCCUCCUCAACUGUUCCCCCAUCCACCCAGCACACAGAAAUUCAAACCCAGAUUUUUUUUUCCAAAAAAAAAAACAUGGCCCAAUGGUCACAGAAAAUCAUAAAAAUGCAGAAAAAACCACACAAGCUCCCAGAUUCUUGCAAACCUCUCCCCAACACCAAGUCCUUGAAUUCUAAACACCCCAACCCAAAAUCCAAAAAACCCCCAAAAAGUUUUAAAAGUUUAACUUACCAAACAGCUGCAAAAGAAGUUUUGGAAAAGCUUCAAAAAUUCAGCAAACUCUUUAAAAAGCUCAAAAGGCCACCACACUGCGUGCAAUGUGUUGCUCCUCGAAGUCAAGUCGCAACUGCACCUCUUCCAGCAAUGCACCCUGGGUAUUAACGGUUUUACGAAAAAGGAAACAAACUUGCAAGACGUUUUCGUCUUGCGAAGCAAGCCCAUAGUGAAAUUCGUCUUGCGAAGCAACUCGAAAACGAAAAAACCUUUCGUCUUGCUAGUUUUUCGUCUUGCGAGGCGUUCGUCUUGCGGGGCACCACUGUAUUGCAUUAGACGCUUUGGAUGCAGGGUGUGAGUGUAUCCAUGGGUGUAGCGUGGGUUGACAGUACCUGGGGCAGUGCAGAAGGGGGUGGGUGGGAAACAGACAGAGNNNNNNNNNNNNNNNNNNNNNNNNNNNNNNNNNNNNNNNNNNNNNNNNNNNNNNNNNNNNNNNNNNNNNNNNNNNNNNNNNNNNNNNNNNNNNNNNNNNNGCAAGCACAUUCCAUUGCCUAACAGAGUCCAUGUCACCCAGGAAAUCACAGCCACAGAGAUAAGAAAAGAAGAGUAAUUCCAUAGUCUGGAGAGGUCACUUCCUGGUUUGCAUGGAGAAGCCGUUUGCAAUGGAGCCCAGCAACGGAAGUGAGCAGCUGCACUGAGGCAGCACUGGGUGUUGAAAUUUUGCGCCCCAACAAUUUUGCGCCCGGGGGAACCACCCCUGUGGGCCCCUCGCACUACACUACUGAGGGUACCACCACUAGGGUGACCACCACCAUGUGACCAAUGCAACCAAUGGGACAAGGUACAUGUGUACACAUGUGUGCCAUGAGCCCCACAGUGCUGCUGGGGUCGGGCUUGGAUUGGCAGGCUCUGACACAGGAGGAGGAGGAACAAGAAACAGGGGGUGGGGCGCGAACCCGUCGCAAGCGAGGGAUUUCUCUGGGAGAGGAACCCUGGCUAUUUCGGCCAGAAAAGGGGGGUUUUAGGGCGAAAAAACCCCCUCUUAAACAUCUGGGGGGUGUCCAGAGGGUCAGGUUCCCGGCAGUGCCUAAAAGCUGCCCAGCCGGCCGCCAGGUAACCUCGGAAAGGGGUGAAGAGCGAGGCGGAACGGGAUAGCAGGCUAUCGGGAAGCCAUUGCUACGGCCAAAUAGCGAAGCCCUGAGCUUGCAAGGAACAGCGCUUCGCUCUUAAAUUUAAGAAAUUCGGACUUAAAAUAAUUAUAAUUGGAUUGAAGAGACAUUAAGGGAAGUACCGAAAUAAAAAGGAGAAGAUUUCAAGUUCAGCUGUCAUCUGGAAUCAGCGCAGACGCAGCAUUGCAAGCAGAGCCAGAAAGCGAAAGUGAGUUGCCGCUAGCGGCUAUUGUUUCCGUUUCUCCCUAACUUUUAGAAACUUUUAGAAACUAAGUUAAAAGUUUAAAAGUAACCUUUAUUGAGAAUUUAAAGAGGUGGAAAAGCAAAGGGGGAACAGAAGGUUACUAUUGUGGCAAGCAGAAGUCUUAGAUGCAACGGAGGAUAUAUGAGGAUUGAAUUGUUUUCCCACUUCUACUUUCACAAUAAACUUGUUACGCCAGGAGAAGAGCUUCCGACUCCAUUUUAACUUAGCAGAAAGGCUACAGCGGCAGAGAAGAAAGAAAUAAUAUAUUUCUCCACUUUCCUUUUUUUGGGUGAUUUUGGUUUUUUCCCCCUUUAAUUUUAAAAAAUUUGAAAAUUAAAUCUGGCAAAAUUGAAUUGGAAAAUUUAACUUAAGUUAAUUGACAAUUAUUUAAAUUACUUAACUGUGGAUUGGAGCCCCCUAGUGGAUGGAAUGAGAUACUACAACUUGUUUUUCACGAUUUUUCUUUGUUAAUGGAGUAUUACUGAGGUGGAAGGAAUACUUGUUUUCCUGUUUGGUUUCCUGUUCCCCAUAUUUUUGUGGAAUGCCCUGCUUGGAAUUAUAAAAAACCUACCCUCUCAAAUAUUUAUAUCUCCUCUGAAAUACCGUCUGGAUUAUUAAACAGAAAAUAAUUUGGACCUGGCUUUGGAACUUUAAACAGAUAAUAUAGAACCAAUUUUUUGAUUUGAAAUCAGAAGAUAUAAAAUAAAUUAAAACUAUUUGGAUUAUAGCCAUAUUUUUGUUUUUAUUUUGGAAGAAAUUAUUAUUAUUAUUUUCCUCUUUUUUGGGAAACAACCAUAAUUGGAUAUCUUACUGGAAUACAAUUUAAAUUAUUCGGAUUACAAUCUGGAUUACAAUUUUAUUAUCUCAACUCAAUUUAUAUUUGGAUUAUAGUUUUAUUCAGUUCAUGAAAUAUCCAAGAGGACAUCUAAAGAAUCUAACUGAGGAUUAGCCCGAGUGGGGGCAAGAAGACUGGACUACAUCUUAAUUCUGGUUCAGGUUUUGACUGCCUUCAUGUUUAGAAGUGGUUAAAGGGGGAAGCAUUCCCUCUUAUAAAAGCUAUGAUCCGCUCCUCCUCUUCCUAUAUUAUUUUUUAAAAUUACGGAGUAAAACUAAGUAAUUGUAUUCUGUAUUUUUAUGUUUUGGAAAGGAUAUUAAAAUUGUAACGGUGAAAACUAUUUGAACAACUGGGAAACUGUUUAAGUUACAUUGACUAAAUAUAAGGUAAAUAACUAAUUUGAGAAACUUGUUUUUGUAUUGGUUAUAUCUUGGUAUUUUUGUGAAGGGAAAUGUCACAUCAACCAAAAAAAGGGGUAGAGGGAGGGGCGCCGACUGACAGGAGAGCAUCAAAGCAAGAAACAGAGUUUAGAACAGAAAUAUUGAGAAUGUUUGCAGAGAUAAAACAAAGUGAAAAAAAUCUGGAAACAAAAUUGGAACAAGUAGAUAAUAAAAUUGGGAAAAUGGAUAAAAAAAUUGAUGAGACAGUCAAUGAACUGAAAGGGCAAAUAAAAGAGGUAUCCAAAAGAACUCAAUCAUUGGAGGAGGGGAUGAAGAGGACAAAACUGGAAAUGAGAGAGGUAAAGCGAGAGGAAGAGAGGAUGAAGACUGAGAUGAUGGAAAUAAACAAAUCACAGGAAGAAAUUAUAGAUGCGAUGAAUGAGCUGAGACAGAGAGAAGUGAAUUUGAGGCUGAGAUCAGUGCCGGAAAUACAGAACGAAAAUAUAAAAGAGAGAUUGAUAACGGAAAUUGCGCAGUGGCUGGAGAUGCCAGCAGAAGUUGCAAAAACAGUUCAAAAUGCAUUUAGAAUGAAAGUAAGGACAAGUAAAGCAAGGAAAUUCCCUGGUGACUGCUUAAUUACAUUCAAGGAUAGAGAGAUGAGAAAUUUGAUUUUACAGAAGAACAGAAAUAAAAGACUAUACAUAGACGGGAAUUACAUAAUUAUCUUUAAAGAUAUACCAAUAAGGCUGUUGAAACGAAGAGACCCAUAUAAGCCACUGGUGCAGAUCCUUAAGAAAAACAAGAUUGACUUCAGAUGGGAAUUUCCUGAGGGAGUCUCGUUCUUUUACAAAGGUAAGAAACGCAGAUUGAUAAGCCCAGAAGAAAUAGGGAAAUUUACGAGAAGGUACAAGGAAUUACAAGUGGAAGAAGAAGAGGUCAAAGGUGCAGGAGGAGGAGCAGGAUCCAGGGAAGAGUCUGAAUCAGGAGAAGAAGAAGAACAGAACGGAAAGAAAUCGGAAGAAGAAAAGGAAGAAGAAGAAGAAGAGGUUGAUAGGUUAUAAGGAAACGAAACCAAAUUUAUUUAAUUGGAAGACAUUAUGGCGUUAAAAUUAUGGAAUUGGAACAUUAAUGGGAUGAAUGAUAAGAAGAAACAAAACAAAAUUGAACAAUUUUUUAAAAAGAAAAAUCUGGACAUCAUAUGUUUACAAGAAACACAUGUGGCAAAGAGACACAGAAAAAUUCUGAUUAACAAAAGACUCGGGAAUGAAUUUAUUUCUUCGGACAAAGAGAAAAAAAGGGGAGUUGUGUUAUACAUUAAAAACAAAAUCGAAUCUCACCAAAUAUUUAAGGAUGAAGAAGGAAGAAUUAUAGCAGUUCAGAUUAAAUGGCAAGGCGAAAAAUUAAUAAUUGUCGGGAUCUACGCACCAAAUGGAAAUAAGACUGAUUUUUACAAAGCUCUGGAGGAAAAAUUAUUUGAGUACAUGGAUCAGAAAAUUAUAAUAAUGGGAGACAUGAACGGAGUGGUUUCAUUGGAAAUGGAUAGACUAAGAGAAGGAAUGAAUAAAGAAGGGAAAUUGCCUAAGACCUUCUUUAUGAUGACUAAGAACUGUAACUUGAUUGACAUCUGGAGAUUUAGACACCCAUUGGAGAAGCAAUUUACCUAUUACUCAGAACCGAAUCAGUCAAUGUCAAGAAUAGAUCAAAUAUGGGUAUCGAAUGAAUUGACUCCAAGAAUUCAACAAAUUGAAAUACAACCCAAAGUAAUUUCAGAUCACAACCCAAUAAAAAUGGAACUAAAAGGUUUUGAAGAAAGAACUUUCAGAUGGAGGAUUAAUGACUACUUGCUGGAUGACCAGAAGAUUGUAGAAAAAGCACAAAAGAAAUUAUCUGAAUAUUUUAUGGACAAUAUCAAUAAAGGUACAAAGAUGAAUAUAGUUUGGGACGCAAGCAAAGCAGUUAUGAGAGGAUUUUUCAUUCAGCAGAACUCAUUGAAGAAUAAAAACAGGGGAAAGGGGAAAAAAGAAAUUUUAAAGCAGAUUAUGGAUAAUGAGCAAAAAUUAAUCAAAAAACCAAACAACUUAAAAAUUAAGCAAGAGAUUAAGACCCUUCAAACUCAAUUUGCAAUGAUAAUAAACAAGGAAGUAGAAUGGAAUAUUAAAAGGUUAAGACAGAAAAACUUUGAGUUCGCUAAUAAAUCAGGAAAAUGGCUUGCGUGGCAACUUAAAAAGAGAAAGGAGCAGAGCACAAUUAAUAAAAUUAUGGUAAAUGGCGAGGAGACAGUUAAUCCGAAAGAAAUCAGAAAAGGAUUCUUGGACUUCUACAGGCAACUGUACAGAAAUAAAGAAAGGAAUAAUAUGAAGAAAAUAGAAAGAUAAAAAGGUGCAGAAGAUCCCGACAGAACAAAAAGACCAGCUGAACGCCCCAAUAGAAACAGAGGAAGUAAAAGAGGUCUUAAAAGAGUUGAAGAGAGGGAAAGCCCCGGGACCAGACAGAUUUACAUCAAGUUAUUAUAAAGAAAUGAAAGAUGUGUUGAUGACCCCAUUGAAAGAAGUUAUGAACAAUAUCUUAAAAGAAAGCGACAUCCCAGAAACGUGGAAAGAAGCAUAUAUUACUUUGAUUCCAAAACAAGAAUCGGACUUAACCUAAGUUAAAAAUUAUAGGCCUAUUUCAUUAUUGAACAUGGACUACAAGAUAUUUGUGGGGAUUUUAGCGAAGAGAAUGAAAAAGAUACUGAUAAGAAUUAUCCAUAAAGAUCAAGCAGGUUUCCUACCAGGCAGACAAAUGAAAGAUAAUAGAAGGAAUAUAAUUAAUGUUCUAGAAUAUCUGACUGCUAGGAACGAGAAACAAGCAAUUUUAAUGUUUGUGGAUGCAGAAAAGGCCUUUGAUAAUAUUGUAUGGGAGUUUAUGUUGAAAAAUUUAGAGCAUAUGGAUGUGGGGAAAGAGUUUCUAAAUGGUAUUAAGGCAAUCUAUGCAGAACAGAGAGCAAAAUUGAUAGUUAAUAGCGUAAUUACAGAAGAUAUAAAAAUAUCUAAAGGAACAAGACAAGGUUGCCCGCUCUCGCCAUUGUUAUUUAUAACAGUUCUGGAGGUCUUUUUAAAUGCGAUUAGACAAAAUAAACAAAUAAAAGGGGUGACAGUAGGUCAGAAUGAGUAUAAAGUUAAAGCCUUUGCCGACGAUUUGGUAAUAACAAUCGAAGAACCAAUAGAAAGUGUAAAAGAGGUAUUGGAUGAGAUUGAACAAUUUGGGAGGGUAGCCGGAUUUAGACUGAAUAAGAAAAAGACUAAAAUGAUUGCAAAAAAUAUGGAACAAAGUAAGAUUGAAACAAUGCAGCAACAGACGGAGAUAGAGGUGGUGAAAAAGGCAAAAUAUCUGGGAAUUUGGUUAUCUCCCAAAAAUAUUGAUUUGUAUCAAAAUAAUUAUAUUCCGGUUUGGAAGAGAAUAAGGAAUGAUCUGGAGGUGUGGGGUAGAAUGAAACUAUCUUUUUGGGGUAGAAUUUCUACGAUAAAGAUGAGCGUACUGCCAAAGAUGUUAUUCUUAUUUCACACUAUCCCCAUUAUAAAGGGGAUAGGAAUUUUUAAAGAAUGGCAAAGAGUGAUUUCAAGGUAUAUCUGGCAGGGGAAGAAGCCAAGAAUAAAAUAUAAGUUAUUGACAGAUGUAAAAGAAAGAGGAGGCUUCGCCCUACCAGAUAUGAAAUUAUAUUAUGAAGCAGCAUGCCAAUGUUGGCUAAAGGAAUGGAUAAAAUUAGAAAAUAAGGAGUUACUAGAUCUUGAAGGUUUUAAUAACAGAUUUGGUUGGCACGCGUAUCUAUGGUGUGAUAAGAAGAAAGUCCAUAAAGGUUUUGGAAACCACAUUUUCAGGAGUUCGCUAAUAGAAAUAUGGGAAAGAUAUAAAAAUUUACUGGAACCAAAAGUUCCACAUUGGCUAUCUCCGUUGGAGGUUAUGAGUGUAAAAAAAAUUAAUAUGAGAGGAAAAUGGAUCACAUAUGGAGAACUGGUAAUUAAAGAAGGAGGAAAAUGGAAACUAAAACCAUAUGAACAAGUUAAAGAUCAUGUAUAUGAUUGGUUGCAUUAUUUCCAGGUAAACGAAAUGUUUAAAAAAGAUCUAAAAGAAAGUGGUUGUGUAGAAAAAGAUUCUAAAUUCCAAACAGAUAUAAUAAACAAUGAAUGUAAAACUUUGUCAAAAAUGUAUAAGAUAUUGUUGGAAUGUCAUACGAAAGAUGAAGAGGUUAAAUCGGUAAUGAUACAAUGGGCCAAAGAUUUUGGAUAUAACAUACAAUUUGAUGAUUGGGAAAAACUGUGGAAAGAGAAUGUAAAAUUUACUGCAUGUAUGGCAUUGAAAGAAAAUGUUAUGAAAAUGUUUUAUAGAUGGUACAUUACACCAGUAAAACUAGCAAAGAUGUAUAAGACGUGUAACAAAUGUUGGAAAUGUAAAGGAAAAGAAGGAACAUUCUUCCGUAUGUGGUGGGAAUGUAAGAAAGUGAAAAGUUUUUGGGAAAUGAUUUAUAAUGAAAUGAAAAAGAUGUUAAGAUAUACUUUUGUAAAAAAAACAGAGGCUUUUCUUUUAGGGAUCACAGGAAAGGAAAUAAGAAGAAAAGACUGUAAACUCUUUCAAUAUGCAGUUACGGCAGCUAGAAUCUUGUUGGCCCAGAAAUGGAAACAAGAGGAAAUACCGACGAUAGAAGAAUGGAGAAUGAAACUGACAGACUAUGCGGAAUUGGACAAACUGACUGGGAAAAUUAGAUACAUCAGAGACCAAAAGUUCAUCGAAGACUGGGGAAAGUUUGUAGAUUAUCUGAAAAAUGUGUGUGAUGUGAAAACAAUGCUAGUGGGAUUUCAGGAGGCACUGUAAAAACAAAGAAGUAUUGUUAAUAUGAAAUAAAAGGAGAAGGGAAGCUUAAUGGCAAUACGAAUGAAGGGAAUGCGUAUUAAGGAUAUAAAUAUGGAUGAUUGUCAGAGACGCUGAAGGAAGUUCAAAAAGAGAUGAUUUGUUAAAAUUUGGUUAAAAAAUUAUAAUUGUAUGGAAAACUAAUAAAAAUUUAUUGGCAAAAAAAAAAGAAACAGGGGGUGGGGACUCAGUGGUGGGUGGAGGAGGUGGGUAUCUCCUCUUUCCAUACUGACUUCAUGCCAGCUCUCUCCUCCAACCUUCCUGCAAAGCAAUGUGGGCUGGGGAGGACUUUGGUCAACUGAGGAGGGAAGCUGGAGGUUGCAGUAUCUGAACAAGUGUCUAAACUGGAGGGUGCAAGUUUGUUGCCUAGAACCAAUUGCCACCUUCUCAGAUGGGUUCAGACCUUCUCACCCCAACAGAGCAUGCAUUUGUAAUCUCAGUAUUCCCGCAAGGCGAGAGAGCCUCGUGAGUGACGGCAACAUGCCUCAUCUUCAAAAGCUUGGCAGGAGGGACAGGGAAACUUAUUGGGACGUCUUUGUUAUCUCCAUCCAGUUCCAAACUACUUUGCCCUCCCCUCCCCAACACCUGACUCGCAAUUCCUUAACACAGUGUUUAUUGCCAGACCUGUACCACGACUUGCCUGAAUAAAGAACUCCUUUUUACUUACAAGUAAGAGCCUCUGUCUGCUUGUGUUUGGGGUGGGAGCCAAGACAACCUCUAUAAUUUAUUCCCCCCUUUUAAGUGGGAAAGGAUCCCAUGCAAUAUGUGUCACACGGUACACAUGGGGUACCAUAGGAAAGAGUGGGGAACAGCCCUCUGAGUUUCACUGUAAUAGCAUUUUUAAAAGUGCAUUGAUGCCCGUACAUUUCAUGUUAUCCAUUAAUACAAUGGGAUGGUGUCCAUUUAAUAUUAUACCAGCAAAAUGCCCCUGGAUGGCAGGCUUCUGUGUCACAAAAACUGUUGGGAUGCUGUGCAUCUUUAUGUGUUACAUGACUAGGAUAGGGUCUCUACAAUGGAGCUCAAACCUGGAGUCAAAGGUAGGGUGCGUUUUUCUUUCUACAGCAACAUUGUUCCAAGUGUCACAUUUUACUAUCCCCUAAAGCAGUGAAUGGAACGCGGGUGGCGCUGUGGGUUAAACCACAGAGCCUAGGACUUGCUGAUCAGAAGGUCGGCGGUUCGAAUCCCCGCGACAGGGUGAGCUCCCGUUGCUCAGUCCCUGCUCCUGCCAACCUAGCAGUUCGAAAGCACGUCAAAGUGCAAGUAGAUAAAUAGGUACCACUCCAGCGGGAAGGUAAAUGGCGUUUCCAUGCGCUGCUCUGGUUCGCCAGAAGCGGCUUAGUCAUGCUGGCCACAUGACCCAGAAGCUGUACACUGGCUCCCUCGGCCAAUAAAGCGAGAUGAGCGCCGCAACCCCAGAGUUGGCCACGACUGGACCUAAUGGUCAGGGCUCCCUUUACCUUUACUAAAGCAGUGAAUGGUAUCCAUUUAUACGGAUGUUGUGACAUGAGUGCUUAAGAGUACCCUGUACACUGGGACUAGACUGACUCCCUGCCCUUGGUGUCUGCAUCCAAUUAAGUGUUCAAUUAUUUGCAUAGCCCCACCCCUUUCUCUGCCCAGCACACUAGGUUUGGUUUCUUGGUCAUACUACAAUGAACUCAGUUUUAUGUCCCUCUCUAGGCACCAAAUGAGAGAAGGAACAGCAAUGGAAGGGACCACCAAGAUAUAUACAGAAAUAUUAAGACCUGCUCCCUUAUACCCUAGUGGGGACUUAUGGCUAUGUAAGCAUC